rnacentral:tRNA from 1 species
GCGGCGUUGGUCCAGCCUGGUAGGACAUGCUUAAAGAGCUGGGAAUCCCGGGUUCAAAUCCCGGACGCCGCA